rnacentral:rRNA from 1 species
UACGUAGGGCGCGAGCGUUGUCCGGAAUUAUUGGGCGUAAAGAGCUCGUAGGCGGUUUGUCGCGUCGGCCGUGAAAACUUGGGGCUUAACCCCAAGCCUGCGGUCGAUACGGGCAGACUUGAGUUCGGCAGGGGAGACUGGAAUUCCUGGUGUAGCGGUGAAAUGCGCAGAUAUCAGGAGGAACACCGGUGGCGAAGGCGGGUCUCUGGGCCGACAUUGACGCUGAGGAGCGAAAGCGUGGGGAGCGAACAGG